rnacentral:rRNA from 1 species
UACGUAGGUGGCGAGCAUUAUUCGGAAUCACUGGGCGUAAAGGGUCCGUAGGGGGUUAUAUAAGUCUGAUGUGAAAGCCAUGGGCUCAACCCAUGAAGUGCAUUGGAAACUGUAUAACUAGAGUACAUGAGAGGUAAGCGGAAUUCGUGGUGUAGCGGUGGAAUGCGUAGAUAUCACGAGGAAGGCCAAAGGCGUAAGCAGCUUACUGGCAUGUUACUGACCCUGAGGGACGAAAGCUAGGGGAGCGAAAAGG